AGAUGCCUCCCAGGUUUCAGAAGGCUUCUUCCAAGGAUAUUUCAUGUAUGCAGGUGGGGGAAGAGUUAUAUGUACAGCAGGAAACAUGCAUUGUGUUUUUCACUGAAAAAUUCUGGCUCACAUACCUCUUGACGUCACAACUGAACUCAAUGCCUGUU
rnacentral:lncRNA from 1 species